UGCUAAAUUCAUUCAAGUCUUAUUUCAGCUGUGUACUGUUUUACUACAGUAUGAAGUUAGAAUUGGUUAAAAAUAAUGCAAAUGAUUAUUAGGUACUACCAAAACUGUGCGAAAUCGCAAUAAUUAGUGGCAAGAGCGCGAGGCAACGUUCAAGGCAUUUACAUGAGUCAGGCGAAGGAAGGAUUUGGCUCACCUGGAAAGUGAUUAAAUGAUUCCUCGAAGUCGCCGCGGCCGCCCAGGAGCGGCUGCGACUCCCGGUUUACUCCUGGAGAAUCCACGCUGCCUUCGAAGCCGACGUCAGGAACUAAACAAAUCUCUUCUGAACUACUGGACAAAGAUACCACGCCGUCAUCGGUCGGCGCAAUCGCUGAAUUUAUUUUGUCGAAA